rnacentral:tRNA from 4 species
GCGGAUGUAGCCGAACUGGUAUAGGCGUACGGCUUAGGACCGUAUGGGGAAACCCGUGUGGGUUCGACUCCCACCAUCCGCA